GGUCCGCCCCUAUGCACAUUACGGCCACCACCCAUCUAGUAUGAUCAUAAUUCAAAAAGCUUCAUUUCAUUCAAUAAUCUAGAAAGGCUUAAAAUCUUCAUUUCCAAAACCUUGGUCGUCUCGCUCAAUCAUAAAGGGAACCGACAUGAACAACAACCGUUAAUGUGGCAUUGCAGCCAAAGAAUAAUGGAAGAUGAGACAGAGACACCGAAUAAAUUUCAAAUUGUUGAAAAUUUUGGUGAAAGAGAUGCUUCAACUGAUUCCACAACCAACAACAGUGAAUCUCAAUAUGAUUGUAUGGUGUUUUAGGAGAUGAAUGGUGUUUAUUCACUCAAUUUUUUUGAUUAUGAUUGAAUGGUGCUUUAGGAGAUGAAUGGUUUUUUCUGA